rnacentral:rRNA from 1 species
CCUACGGGUCGCACCAGUGGGGAAUAUUGCACAAUGGGCGCAAGCCUGAUGCAGCCAUGCCGCGUGUAUGAAGAAGGCCUUCGGGUUGUAAAGUACUUUCAGCGGGGAGGAAGGCGAUAAGGUUAAUAACCUUGUCGAUUGACGUUACCCGCAGAAGAAGCACCGGCUAACUCCGUGCCAGCAACCGCGGUAAUACGGAGGGUGCAAGCGUUAAUCGGAAUUACUGGGCGUAAAGCGCACGCAUGCGGUCUGUCAAGUCGGAUGUGAAAUCCCCGGGCUCAACCUGGGAACUGCAUUCGAAACUGGCAGGCUGGAGUGUUGUAGAGGGGGGUAGAAUUCCAGGUGUAGCGGUGAAAUGCGUAGAGAUCUGGAGGAAUACCGGUGGCGAAGGCAGCCCCCUGGACAAAGACUGACGCUCAGGUGCGAAAGCGUGGGGAGCAAACAGGAUUAGAUACCCCAGUAGUC